UACGAAGGGGGCGAGCGUUGUUCGGAUUUACUGGGCGUAAAGGGCGCGCAGGCGGCUCUACAAGUCAGACGUGAAAGCCCCGGGCUUAACCUGGGAACUGCGUUUGGGACUGUGGGGCUAGAGAUCGGGAGAGGAGAGUGGAAUUCCCAGUGUAGAGGUGAAAUUCGUAGAUAUUGGGAAGAACACCGGUGGCGAAGGCGGCUCUCUGGACCGAUACUGACGCUGAGGCGCGAAAGCGUGGGGAGCAAACAGG
rnacentral:rRNA from 1 species